rnacentral:lncRNA from 1 species
CGCCAUUGCGAGUCCGGCGGAAGAAGUUGGCCAGCCCCACCCCCCAAGGCUAUAGCCCACAGUAUUUGUGGCUUUUUUCCGCUGGAUGAACUUUGCGCCCCGGCCUUCGGGCGGUUAUUUUUGGGCACGGCUGUUCCCACGGCCUAUUUUUGGCGCAUGGAGGCGCCUCGCAAUGUCUCGCGCCAUUCCGAGUCCGGCGGACGAAGUCGGCCAGCCCCACCCCCCAAGGCUAUAGCCCACCCGUUUUUGUGGCCUUUUUCCGCUGGAUGAACUUGGCGCCCAGGCCUUCGGGCGGUUAUUUUUGGACGCGGCUGUGCCCGCGGCCUAUUUUUAGCACACGGAGGCGCCUUGUAAAGUCUCGCGCCAUUCCGAGUCCAGCGGACGAAGUUGGCCAGCCCCACCCCCCAAGGCUAUAGCACACCCGUUUUUGUGGCCUUUUUCCGCUGGACGAACUUGGCGCCCCGGCCUUUGGGCUGUUAUUUUUCGGCGCGGCUGUACCCGCGGCGUUUUUUUGGCCCACGGAGGGGCCUCGCAAAGUCUCGCGCCAUUCCGAGUCCGGCGGACGAAGUUGGCCAGCCCCACCCCCCAAGGCUAUUGCCCACCCGUUUUUGUGGCCUUUUUCCGCUGGACGAACUUGGCGCCCCGACCUUUGGGGUGUUAUUUUUCGGCGCGGCUGUGCCCGCGGCCUAUUUUUGGCCCACGGAGGGGCCUCGCAAAGUCUCGUACCAUUCCGAGUCCGGCGGAGGAAGUUGGCCCGCUCCACCCCCCAAGGCUAUAGCCCACCCGUUUUUGGGGCGUUUUUCCGCUGGACGAACUUGGCGCCCCGGCCUUCGGGCGGUUAUAUUUCGAUGCGGCUGUGCCCGCGGCCUAUUUUUGGCACACGGAGGCGCCUCGCAAAGUCUCGCGCCAUUCCGAGUCCGGCGGACGAAGUGGGCCAGCCCCACCCCCCAAGGCUAUUGCCCACCCGUAUUUUUGGCCUUUUUCCGCUGGACGAACUUGGCGCCCCGGCCUUCGGGCGGUUAUUUUUGGGCGCGGCUUUGCCCUUGGCCUAUUUUUGGCACACGGAGGCGCCUCGCAAAGUCUCGCGCCAUUCCGCGUCCGGCGGACGAAGUUGGCCAGCCCCACCCCCCAAGGCUGUAGCCCACCCGUUUUUGUGGCCUUUUUCCGCUUGACGAACUUGGCGCCCUGGCCUUCGGGCGGUUAUUUUUCGACGCGGCUGUGUCCGCGGCCUAUUCUUGGCACACGGAGGAGCCUCGCAAAGUCUCGCGCCAUUCCGAGUCCGGCGGACGAAGUUGGCCAGCCCCACCCGCCAAGGCUGUAGCCCACAGUAUUUGUGGCCUUUUUCUGCUGGACGAACUUUGCGCCCCGGCCUUCGGGCGGUUAUUUUUGGGCACGGCUGUUCCCACGGACUAUUUUUGGCGCACGGAGGCGCCUCGCAAUGUCUCGCGCCAUUCCGAGUCCGGCGGACGAAGUCGGCCAGCCCCACCCCCCAAGGCUAUAGCCCACCCGUUUUUGUGGCCUUUUUCCGCUGGAUGAACUUGGCGCCCAGGCCUUCGGGCGGUUAUUUUUGGGCGCGGCUGUGCCCGUGGCCGAUUUUUUGCACACGGAGGUGCCUCACAAAUUCUCGCGCCAUUCCGAGUCCGGCGGACGAAGUUGGCCAGCCCCACCCCCCAAGGCUAUAGCCCACCUGUAUUUGUGGCCUUUUUCCGCAGGACGAACUUGGCGCCCCGGCCUUCGGGUGGUUAUUUUUGGGCACGGCUGUUCCCACGGCCUAUUCUUGGCGCACGGAGGCGCCUCGCAAUGUCUCGCACCAUUCCUAGUCCGGCGGACGAAGUUGGCCAGCCCCACCCGCCAAGGCUGUAGCCCACAGUAUUUGUGGCCUUUUUCUGCUGGACGAACUUUGCGCCCCGACCUUCGGGCGGUUAUUUUUGGGCACGGCUGUUCCCACGGCCUAUUUUUGGCGCACGGCGGCGCCUCGCAAUGUCUCGCGCCAUUCCGAGUCCGGCGGACGAAGUCGGCCAGCCCCACCCCCCAAGGUUAUUGCCCACCCGUUUUUGUGGCCUUUUUCCGCUGGAUGAACUUGGCGCCCAGGCCUUCGGGCGGUUAUUUUUGGGCGUGGCUGUGUCCGCGGCCUAUUUUUAGCCACACGGAGGCACCUCGCAAAGUCUCGCACCAUUCCGAGUCCGGCAGACGAAGUCGGCCAGCCCCACCGCCCAAGGCUAUAGCCCACCCGUUUUUGUGGCCUUUUUCCGCUGGAUGAACUUGGCGCCCAGGCCUUCGGGCGGUUAUUUUUGGGCGUGGCUGUGUCCGUGGCCUAUUUUUGCCACACGGAGGCACCUCGCAAAGUCUCGCGCCAUUCCGAGUCCGGCGGACGAAGUGGGCCAGCCCCACCCCCCAAGGCUAUAGCCCACCCGUUUUUGUGGCCUUUUUCCGCUGGAUGAACUUGGCGCCCAGGCCUUCGGGCGGUUAUUUUUGGGCGUGGCUGUGUCCGCGGCCUAUUUUUGCCACACGGAGGCACCUCACAAAGUCUCGCGCCAUUCCGAGUCCGGCGGACGAGUGGGCCAGCCCCACCCCCCAAGGCUAUAGCCCACCCGUUUUUGUGGCCUUUUUCUGCUGGACGAACUUUGCGCCCCGGCCUUCGGGCAGUUAUUUUUGGGCACGGCUGUUCCCACGGCCUAUUUUUGGCGCACGGAGGCGCCUCGCAAUGUCUCGCGCCAUUCCUAGUCCGGCGGACGAAGUAGGCCAGCCCCACCCCCCAAGGCUAUAGCCCACCCGUAUUUGUGGCCUUUUUCCGCUGGACGAACUUGGCGCCCGGGCCUUCGGGCGGUUCUUUUUGGGCGUGGCUGUGCCUGCGGCCUAUUUUGGGCGUAUGGAGGAGCCUCGCAACGUCUCGCGCCAUUCCGAGUCCGGCGGAGGAAGUUGGCCAGCUCCACCCCCCAAGGCUAUAGCCCACCCGUUUUUGGGGCGUUUUUCCGCUGGACGAACUUGGCGCCCCGGCCUUCGGGCGGUUAUUUUUGGGUGCGGCUGUGUCCGCGGCCAAUUUUUGGCACACGGAGGCACCUCGCAAAGUCUCGCAGCAUUCCGAGUCCGGCGGACGAAGUGGGCCAGCCCCACCCCCCAAGGCUAUAGCCCACCCGUUUUUGUGGCCUUUUUCCGAUGGACGAACUUGGCGCCCCGGCCUUCGGGCGGUUAUUUUUGGGCGCGGCUGUGUCCGCGGCCUAUUUUUAGCACACGGAGGCGCCUCGCAAAUUCUCGCGCCAUUCCGAGUCCGGCGGACGAAGUUGGCCAGCCCCACCCCCCAAGGCUAUAGCCCACCCAUUUUAUGGCCUUUUUCCGCUGGACGAACUUGGUGCCCCGGCCUUCGGGCUGUUAUUUUUGGGCGCGGCUGUGCCCGNN